AUUACACCACCUCUCACUCACAUAAAGUGCAAUCCCGCCGCCCUUCUUCUUCCGACUCUUGGAAAAGUCCCUGUCCCCCCACACCAAGGAAAAUCCAGGGACCUCCACGCUGUAGUCCGGAAUAAGCGAGUGUAGUCCAGGUUUCCGUGAAGCAGAAGAUACUGCACUCCCUGUACUCCUUCUGGGUCCUCACCAGUGCCACCUGCAGCCCCGGCGUCUCCUCCGUAACUCCUCUGGGACCACAGGCCUGUCUCCGGGCAGCAGCAGAGGCUUACACAGCGCAAUCAGCUGUUCACGCACGUAAACAAUGCCGCUACUCCGUUCGGCGAGGUUCUCCGUAACAAAGAGUAGAAAAAGUAGCAGGAGA